rnacentral:rRNA from 1 species
GAUGAACGCUAGCGGCAGGCCUAACACAUGCAAGUCGAGGGGUAACAGGGAUUGCUUGCAAUCCGCUGACGACCGGCGCACGGGUGCGUAACGCGUAUACAAUCUACCUUACACUGGGGGAUAGCCUUUAGAAAUGAAGAUUAAUACCCCAUGGUAUGUUAAUGUGGCAUCACAUAUACAUUAAAGGUUACGGUGUAAGAUGAGUAUGCGUCCUAUUAGUUUGUUGGUGAGGUAACGGCUCACCAAGACGACGAUAGGUAGGGGCCCUGAGAGGGGGAUCCCCCACACUGGUACUGAGACACGGACCAGACUCCUACGGGAGGCAGCAGUGAGGAAUAUUGGUCAAUGGGCGAGAGCCUGAACCAGCCAUGCCGCGUGCAGGAAGACGGCCCUAUGGGUUGUAAACUGCUUUUAUACAGGAAGAAACACUCCCUCGUGAGGGAGCUUGACGGUACUGUAAGAAUAAGGACCGGCUAACUCCGU